CCAGAGAACUUAGCAGAGAUGCUUUGGUGGCCUUCGGGAACUCUGAGACAGGUGCUGCAUGGCUGUCGUCAGCUCGUGUUGUGAAAUGUUGGGUUAAGUCCCGCAACGAGCGCAACCCUUAUCCUUUGUUGCCAGCGGCUCGGCCGGGAACUCAAAGGAGACUGCCGGUGAUAAACCGGAGGAAGGUGGGGAUGACGUCAAGUCAUCAUGGCCCUUACGGCCAGGGCUACACACGUGCUACAAUGGCGCAUACAAAGAGAAGCGACCUCGCGAGAGCAAGCGGACCUCAUAAAGUGCGUCGUAGUCCGGAUUGGAGUCUGCAACUCGACUCCAUGAAGUCGGAAUCGCUAGUAAUCGUAGAUCAGAAUGCUACGGUGAAUACGUUCCCGGGCCUUGUACACACCGCCCGUCACACCAUGGGAGUGGGUUGCAAAAGAAGUAGGUAGCUUAACCUUCGGGAGGGCGCUUACCACUUUGUGAUUCAUGACUGGGGUGAAGUCGUAACAAGGUAGGCGUAGCGAG
rnacentral:rRNA from 1 species